AAAUCGGUCCUUUUCAGGACCACCAUAAAAUAUUUAACGUGGAAU
rfam:Trichomalopsis sarcophagae strain Alberta scaffold8405, whole genome shotgun sequence.